GAUCAGCUGUGCAGCUACCUCUCUUUGACCUCAUCCUUCUAAACUCAAUAGUUAGAACUUAGAAGGAAUGGAAUGGAAUGAGAAAACAAAUGUGUGGGUUUUAGCAGUAUAGUGUACCUUAGAUUUGGUUUAGAAAUGCCCAGAACUAGUUUUUGGAUGUUGCAAAUGGGAAUGAGGUCCAGUAUUGCCUUUGCUUCUGUAUCACUUUCAACAAGUAUGGUCUCCACUUUCACCUGUUUUGUAUUUGUGCAAAUGCUUCUCAGUUCUCAAAUCAAAACCCCACUCUUCUUGCA